GUGGGGAAUUUUGGACAAUGGGCGAAAGCCUGAUCCAGCGACGCCGCGUGUGUGAAGAAGGCCUGCGGGUUGUAAAGCACUUUCGUUGGGAACGAAAUACGCCGACCCAAUACGUCGGUGGGCUGACGUUACCCAAACAAGAAGCACCGGCUAACUCUGUGCCAGCAGCCGCGGUAAUACAGAGGGUGCGAGCGUUAAUCGGAAUUACUGGGCGUAAAGCGCACGUAGGCGGCCAUGUAAGUCGGGUGUGAAAUCCCCGGGCUCAACCUGGGAACUGCAUUCGAAACUGCAUGGCUGGAGUACGGGAGAGGAAGGCGGAAUUCCCGGUGUAGCGGUGAAAUGCGUAGAUAUCGGGAGGAACAUCAGUGGCGAAGGCGGCCUUCUGGCCCAGUACUGACGCUCAGGUGCGAAAGCGUGGGGAGCAAACAGGAUUAGAAACCCGAGUAGUCC
rnacentral:rRNA from 1 species